rnacentral:misc_RNA from 1 species
UCCCCCACCUUGCGGGGUUCCACAGAACGGCUUUGCCAAUUAUUUUCAUGCGCUCGUCCAGUUCAUUGCGUGACAAUCACCUGACGUCACACUGUCCUACUGCCUCCCGCUAGUUUUAUCGUGCCACGAAAGAAGCAGCAACUUUAAGAGCUCUCGAUCGACCGAAUCCAAAGGCCAUGGGCGUCGUCGCAUCGCACUGUUCUUAACCACAGCCUAUCUCCCAGCCGGCAUCCCGCGAGGUCGUUUAUCUCUGACGGCCGAUGAUUGCUAAGCAACCUUAUCAGCCGCAAUUGCGGGUCCGCACACAGACAAGCCCGCUCUUCCAAAAUGGACCCCGCUUCGAAGUAACCGCCAGGCUGCCGUCGCCGCCGCAUUGGUUCCGGAAAUGCGCUGGUGUGUUCGUGUUCCGCUGCUGCUCGUCGCCUCGUGCUUGUGUGGCUCUGUGGUGGCCCAAGGUAACGUCGUACUUCGUCGCAACGGUUACACGGGCGUCACCAUUGCCGUCUCACCGAGGAUAUCGCAAGCAAGUCUGCCUGACGACUUUGCGCACACCGUCGCCGAACUCGUCGAGUUGGCAUCGAAGAAAGUGUACCAAGAGCUGGGUCCAGGCCGUGCCUUUUUCCAAGAGGUGACUCUGCUCGUUCCCAGUUCACUCAGCGCUUCGACCAUCGUCGACAGCAACCGCAGCAGUCACGACUAUAAAAUCACGGUGAGCUCCAGGCCCAGCUUCAGCUCAUCGCACUUCGUGAUCGAGCCCGACAAAGGCGCCCUUUUCGGUGAGCACCCGUACACCCUGCAGUAUGGCUCGUGUGGUGUCCAAGGCCUGCGAACGGUGCUGCCUUUCUCCUCUGUCGUCAAGAUCGACGGCGAAGCGAUGGCCGCGGAAUGGCUCCGUCUCAGGUACGGCGUCUUCAGCGAAGAGCUUGUGCCGGAUGACCCUCUGUACUCGCCCGAGGCGGCCGUCACGAAGCAGGCCGUUCUUUGUGAAACGCGAAGCGCUCGGGACGUGAUUUACCAGUCUGAUGAUUUUCGUGGUGUCAAUCUAAGGGGCGAAUCUCCCUACGAGCGCGCCAAGUUGAAUAUCGUCCAAGAGGCUCCGCUGCACCUAGUCGUCGUCUGGAAUGUCGAAUCGAGAGAUCUGUCCACUCCCACGCCGUACGCGACGACACUCACUGCGCUCAGGAAGUUUGCUCAGACACUGGUCCCAGAGCGCUCGAUGAUGGCGUUGGUGGCCUACAGUACGAGCGUGUUUUAUGCCGACAGUGGGCUCAUUGACAUGAAUACCAAGGAACAGAGAGAACAGUUCGCCAAAAGCUAUCCGACAUCUCGUCGUGUCACUUCAACUCUUGAGCGGGCAGUUGUCAAGGCUUUGGAACUCCUGGGCGCAAAUGCACAAGAAUGGACAGGACUACAGGGCUCUAUUCUUUUAAUAUCUCACGACGAAAUUCGUUUUGAGGACCUCAACGCUGCCAGGAAAACGUUGGCCGGUAAACAAGUCAGAGUUAACGCUCUGCUUCUUUCUAAAAGCGGCGCUGAAAACAACGUUGAAAAGCUCUGCUCUGAAUACGAUGGCAACGUGUUUUUAGCCCAGUCUUACAAGAAAAGAGCGCUGGCUUACACGCAGCAGACGAACGCAAUCGCUGCUUUGGCAUUCAGCAAGACAUCUUACGCGGAGACUAAGGCCCCGAUAAUCUUGAAACAGAAAGUAAUAGACCCAGUUCAACAAGGUGAGGAAACUACUGAGGUAUUUUAUGUUGACUCACAAGGCAUGAUGACGCUUGGAGUGGACAUCGUAUUCGAGGAAGCAGAUGAAGCGUCUUAUUAUACAAACUACAUUGUACUCCAUUCACCGACAGAUAAGGUUUAUGAUGUAGACAGCCCAGAACUAACAGCUCAGCCGUUUAAUGUCCAGCAAUUCAAGAUACAGAAUGCUUCUGCCGGUCAGUGGACGUUGCGGAUUAAGCCUGAGACUUCUAUGCCCAAUCCAGUGAAGCUUGAAGUUUGGCUUCAGACGUCUUCGAUUGCCGAUCCGCCAGUUACGAUCAGUGCCUGGCUUAGCUCCGAAUUUUCGAAUGUAGACCCUUCGAAGCCGUUUCUAAUUUACGCCGAAGUUCGGAAAGGCUCAAACCCUAUUCGAUUCGUUAGUGUCACUGCAACAGUGGUCGAUCCAGAGGGAAACCUGACUGAAUUACUUCUUGUGGACAACGGGGCGGGGAUCCCCGACAUCACCGCUGGAGACGGUAUCUAUAGCCGAUACUUCACUGGAUUUUCUAAGAAGGGUCUAUAUACCUUGUCAGUGCGUGCCGAAGGGUCCGAUCAGAGCGUCAUAGUCGGUGGCGCCGCGUGGAACGAAGCGUCGACAUCACCGCCAGCUCAGUGCUGUGGAAGUCAGUUUCCAAAAGAAGGGUCAGUGUUGUCGGGACCGUUCUUGCGUUAUUUCGAAUACGGAUCGUUCUUCAGCAUCGCUGACAGGCCUCGAGGUGACAUAUACCCGCCAAGUCGCGUUACCGACCUGACAGCGAGCCGCGUCGGCGAUCGUGUUACACUCGAAUGGACUGCACCGGGAAACGACUACGAUCACGGUACGGCAAAGAGCUACGAAAUCAGAUUUUUUGACACCGCCGUAGACUUCACGCAGCUGUUUGAAACGUCCGGAAAGAAAAUCGAGGAAUACGAUAUCGACAAUCUUGCUCACUCGCCGAAACCCUUCGGCGAACGCGAAACGUGCGCGUUCAAUUUUAACCACGGUGAUCGCGGUGGGAGCUACUACUUCGCUAUCCGGGCCGACGACGAUUCGAACAAGGGUCCCGUGUCCAAUGUGGUGGAAGUGACUUUCCCGGCGCCUACACCUCCCGCGGUUGUUCCAGGAGGAGAUGGCACGCAAGACACAAUCGUAACCGGUACGGAGACCAACGACCGCAAUUACCUGAGGGGUGGUUUGACGUCCCUUCAGCUUGCCUUAGCCAUCGUGCUUCCACUGCUGUUUCUGUUGAUUCUGAUCAUCAUCAUCGUGCUGGUCGUGUGCUUUAGGAGACGAGGAAAACCGAGCAAGGGGGGCUCGCAAGAAGGUUCGCCGCCGCCACCGCCCACGAGGGCGCGGCCCAUCAUCUCGGCUCCCAUCGCACAGAACGGUUCGACGACUCCAAAGAAGGAGGACAGUGACGACAAAGCGAGCCCGUACGCGACGUCGCUCUUCAACGGCAGCAGCAUCAGCCCCAUUAACUCCUACUCGGCCGACUACCUAUUGGACCAAUAUGAACACGAGAAAGCCAAGAAGGCGCCACAAAAUGGAACCCGGAGGACGCCGUCGGCUCCGCAGCGCGCUGACCUGUCCUCCUCUUCAGGUGCACCCUCGGAAGACCAGUCUUAUCGUCCGGCACAGGUAUGGACGACGCCGCAGGGCAGGGACGAUCGGGACGACAUCGGCCUGCCGGCCGUAAAGCCGUACGUGACCAAACUGAGUCCCGUGCAGAGCCCGCCGUGUGACCCAGGAUCGCGUCGCUUGCCUCCAGACUUCUCGACUGUGCCCAGGAGACAGACGUUUGUGUAACUGCGAAGGAGCGAGGCGUGGGAGCCUACAAGUGCGUUUUUACAAGUGCUACGGGCUUCUGUGUAAAGUGGGUUGACC